UGCUAAUAGUGACAUCCUAGAAUUUCAUAGAGACUAGUAUUUAAAGUUUCUGAAACUUUCUUAAAUAUUACUCUUUCUGUCCUUAUUUAUAAAUCACUUUUUAAGAUUUUUUAUAUCAAAAUGUAUCUCAUGUCACUUUAAUUAUUAUAUCAAUUGUGUAUUUAAUGUUUUUUCAAAGUUACCCUAAUAUUUAAUAUUUUU
rnacentral:lncRNA from 1 species